UACGUAGGGGGCAAGCGUUUGUCCGGAUUUAUUGGGCGUAAAGAGCUCGUAGGUGGUUCGGUAAGUCGGAUGUGAAAUCUCCAGGCUCAACCUGGAGGGUCAUUCGAUACUGCCGUGACUAGAGGUCGGUAGGGGAGUGUGGAAUUCCUGGUGGAGCGGUGAAAUGCGCAGAUAUCAGGAGGAACACCCGUAGCGAAGGCGGCACUCUGGGCCGAUACUGACGCUGAGGAGCGAAAGCGUGGGGAGCGAACAGG
rnacentral:rRNA from 1 species